GUUUGAGCUCAGGAGUUCGAGACCAGCCUGAGCAAGAUGGUCCGGGUCGUCAUCUGUGGAGUAUGGAAACCUGAAUCCUUCUCAGUAAACCUCAUUUUCACGCUUGCCUUACUUGGGUGCGUCUCGGCACUCCGGCCAUGAGCGCACCGAGAACCGACAUGUCAGACUGCAACCCCACAAGCAGGUGACUGGCCCAGCCGUGCGGAGGAACUCUAGAAACAGGGCAAGGGCUCAGGUGUCAUGAGCAGUCUUUUUGUCAUGUUGGCCAUCGUGCACUUUCAGAAUGUGGAUUUUCUUUGUGAUGCUGUCCACAUUUUGUUCAUUGUGUUCGUGGGAAAGGCCAGGCGAGGCAGGCUCCUCCUCUUCCUGGGUAUUCUUCGGGGCUCAGCUGGAAUGUCCCUUCCUCCAGGAAGCCUUCCUUUCCUGACUGCCCAGAUGACGUUACAUCCUCUGUUACACACGCCCGAGGUACCCUGCCUCCUCCCAAGGAAGACGGUCACAGAACAAACCAUCGUGUGUGGGAUAAAAUCCGCACUCACGGCUGCUUCCCGACUGACCUCUCACGUCUCUCCACUGGCCCCUGUGCCCUGAAUUUCAGCCCCGGUUUCCGGCCUGAGAGUCUGCACACACAUGUCUUCUUCCACAUGAAACACUGUCCUAUCCCAGCCUUCUUUGCCUGGCAACACUUACUUGUCCUCUGGUCACCUCUUCUGUGAAGCCGCCCCUGCCCCUGCCACCUGCAUGCACAGCCCUACCUCAUGCCCCACAGAGCCCAGUGGUUUUCAUUUUCCUGGCCCUUAUUCAUUGCAUUUUUUGGUGUGUAUUUCAAUUUUCUUUAAUUUUGGCUUUAGCAGCUUUAUUAAUGUAUAAUUGACAUACAAUAAACUGCACAGAAGUGUACAAUUUUAUACGUUUUGACACAUGUACAUACUUGUGAAAGAAUCACAAUCAAGAUAAUGAAUUUGUCUAUUACCCCCCCCCCAAUUUCCUCCUGUCCCUUGAUAAUCUCUUCUUCCUUUCUCCCUUCCCUCUCUGUCAUUUGCAGGUGUCCACUGAUUGGGUCUCUGUCACCAGUCAUUAGUUUGCAUUAAAUGUAAUCAUAUAGCAUGUAUUCUUUUUUACCUGUUUUUUUUUUAAUCAUUGUAAUUAUUUUGAGAUUUGUCCAUGGAGUAGCAACAGUUCAUUGGUUGUGUUUUUUUUUUAAUUGUUGAGUAAUAGUAUUCUGCAUAUAUGCAUAUAACACAAUUUGUUUACUCACCUGUUGGUGGGCAUUUGUGUUGCUUCUUCCUCUUUGUACGAACGCAUGCUUUUAUUUUUCCUGGGUAAAUACCUAGGAAGGCAAUGUCUGGGUGAUAAGGCUGUAUGCAUUUAACUUUUUAACAAACUGCCACGCUGUUUUCCAAAGUGGUUUCACCCUUUUACUUGCUCAGCAGUAGAGUAUGAAAGUCCCAUUUGCGCUACAUCCUUUUCAACACUUAGUAAGGUCACCCUUUUUCAUGUUAGCCAUCGUAAGAGGUGUGAAUAGUGUCUUAUGCAGGUUUUAAGUUGCAUUUUCCUAAUGACUAAUGACGCUGAGCCAUCUUUCAUGUCCUUAUUUGUUAUCCGUGUACCUUGUUUGAAGUAGUCUGUAUAAACUAAAAUGCUCACCUCCCCCCCCCCAACAG